rnacentral:rRNA from 1 species
AACGAACGCUGGCGGCAUGCCUAACACAUGCAAGUCGAACGAAUGCUUCGGCCUUAGUGGCGCACGGGUGCGUAACGCGUGGGAAUCUGCCCUUUGCUUCGGAAUAACAGUUAGAAAUGACUGCUAAUACCGGAUGAUGUCGCAAGACCAAAGAUUUAUCGGCAAAGGAUGAGCCCGCGUAGGAUUAGCUAGUUGGUGGGGUAACGGCCUACCAAGGCGACGAUCCUUAGCUGGUCUGAGAGGAUGAUCAGCCACACUGGGACUGAGACACGGCCCAGACUCUUACGGGAGGAAGCAGGGGGGAAUAUUGGACAAUGGGCGAAAGACUGAUCCAGCAAUGCCGCGUGAGUGAUGAAGGACUUAGGGUUGUAAAGCUCUUUUAACCGGGAUGAUAAUGACAGUACCGGGAGAAUAAGCCCCGGCUAACUCCGUG